UACGGGGGGGAGCAAGCGUUGUUCGGAUUUACUGGGCGUAAAGGGCGCGUAGGCGGCCAGCACAAGUCAGUUGUGAAAUCUCCGAGCUUAACUCGGAAAGGUCAACUGAUACUGUGCGGCUAGAGUGCGGAAGGGGCAACUGGAAUUCUUGGUGUAGCGGUGAAAUGCGUAGAUAUCAAGAGGAACACCUGCGGCGAAGGCGGGUUGCUGGGCCGACACUGACGCUGAGGCGCGAAAGCCAGGGGGAGCGAACGGGG
rnacentral:rRNA from 1 species